rnacentral:tRNA from 1 species
GCUCUCGUGGUUUAACGGAUAGAACACGGGCCUCCGGAGCUCGUGAUACAGGUUCGAUUCCUGUCGAGAGCA